GACCACAACGUUGAUAGGUGGGGUGUGUAAGCGCAGUGAUGUGUUGAGCUAACCCAUACUAAUUACCCGUGAGGCUUAACCAU
rnacentral:rRNA from 1 species